rnacentral:rRNA from 1 species
GACGAACGCUGGCGGCGUGCCUAAUACAUGCAAGUCGAGCGCUGAAGCUUGGUACUUGUACCUACUGCGUGAGCAGCGAACGGGUGAGUAACGCGUGGGGAAUCUGCCUUUGAGCGGGGGACAACAUUUGGAAACGAAUGCUAAUACCGCAUAAAAUCUUUAAACGCAAGUUUUAAUUUUGAAAGAUGCAAUUGCAUCACUCAAAGAUGAUCCCGCGUUGUAUUAGCUAGGUGGUGAGGUAAAGGCUCACCAAAGCGAUGAUACAUAGCCGAACUGAGAGGGUGAGCGGCCACAUUGGGACUGAGACACGGGCCAAAAUCCUUCAGGAGGGAGCAGGAGGGAAACUUCGGGCAUGGGCGGAAGUCUGACCGGGCAACGCCGCGGGAGUGAAGAAGGGUUUCGGGUCGGAAAACUCUGUUGGUAGGGAAGAAAGUUGGUGGGAGUGGAAAGCGCAUCAAGUGACGGUAACUACCCAGAAAGGGACGGCUAACUACGUG